CCACGUCCCGACGCACAACCCCCCCCGGCGCCGGGACUUCCCAAAGCCGGGUCCGGCGCCCUCCCCCCGGGCGCCGGACCCGGCUUCCUC
rnacentral:ncRNA from 1 species